GGAUGGAUGGAUGGAUGGAUGGAUGGAAGGUAGGAGCGUCCCCUUUGAAACGGGGUGAUGACAGUUGCCACCAUGCUCAGCUUUUUAUUUUGCCUUUUAUUUUUAUUUACCUGUGCUGUGUGCUAUUAAAAUUCUCGAUUGUCUUUAAAUACGUCUUCUUACCCUUUUAACAACGGCUGUCACCGUUGUCGUCUCGUUAACGAUGGCAGCGCUAGGCAAUACGGUGACCAUUUUCAGCACUUCUCCAAGCACGGGCUUUUUCAGCGUUGCUCGACUAGCGUUUGACGCGCUCUCCUGUGCAUUUCUUUGUUACGCUUUUUCAUUUCUGCAGUGCAACUCAACCGACGCAAACUCUUGUCGAAUGCGGCUUACCCAUUCAGUAGAGCGCUUGUGCGGAUUUGGUGUUUCGAAUGUUCGUUAUGCGUAGACAGUGUUGUGCUCACGAUUGCGAGUCUGUUGUUGAAGCUAUUCUGUGAUCCAGCCUGCAUACCGUGCUCGGUUUUAGUCAACGCUGAAAUGGCAUGUUGCAUCCUCAAAUGUGCCUGCGCGCCAAGCUUUCUAAAGAAGUGCCGCGCAAUAGAUGGCCAGCGCAGUGUCCAUGUAAUGUUGUCUGCUUCUAAAGCUGGUCAGGAAUGAACACAGCCGAGCAUUCCUGUGUCUUCAAGGACUGUUGUAACAUAGCACUGUAGUCUCGUUACUCCCAAGCCACAUGGAAAAGAAAAAGAUGUUUUGUUUAGUCACCUUAACCUUUUAUGAAAUGCAUGUUGUAGUCAGAGAGAUUGUCAAUCAUAAGAGAUGCGACAUUUGAUAACUGUGAUGUGAACUUCCACAUAGAAAAGUGCUUUGAUGUGUGUUUGGCUAACAUGGGUGGUAUGUUUCCCAAUUGUAUUGAGUCACUAUUUAGAGCUUUCAUGUUUCCAUUUUGCAUAUACUUAGUUGUGAGCACUUUCUUUCUGCAGCGGCUGAAUUCAUACUGCUAGAACUAUGAGUGAAGUUGGACUGAAAGCUUCUGCCGAUUGUAUUUUUGUGUGCUACUGCGUGUGCUCUCCUUCAUUGCUGACAGAUUACAUGUUUAUACUCCAUGCAAUGUCUCUUCUUUGUGUGCACCAUUUAAAAAAUUUGCUUUCUAACAUUGCAGCUGCAACGCUACAAAUUUCAUUGAUGCCAGGAAUGUCAGAGUCAACCUGCUUAUUACCUUUGUAUAUUUGUUUUUCUUUUCAGAGUUGCUUUGCCUACUGUAUUCAUGUUAAUGUGCUUCUUGAUUGUAAAGCUCUAUCUUGCUGUUGAAAAAAAAUGGUGUGGUUGGGCUAGCCAAAUGAAAAAACAAAAAUAUUUUAAUUUUUUCAUGACUAUUCAACAGGUCUCAUCAUUUGCAAAGCAGCAACAAAAAAGAAAGAAAAGCAGGCCUCAAGUUCUUUUGCAAAAAUAUUGUUUUGCAUUUGCCAACAAUAGCUUGCGCUUGUGUUGUUUUUAAUCAUCGCUCAUUGUGAGACAAUCUGUUCCAUUCGUGCAGGUCAAACUGCGUUUACCAUUUGCUGUAAGCCUUCUAAAGGGCCCUAGUUGUGCAGCGCUCCUCCGGAGCAAUGCAGCAUUUUGUUUUCACAGCACCUUUUUUCGUACAAUCCACAGCACACAUAACACACUUGACAUUGCUAGGAACAAGUUGCUUUAACUUGCAUUUCCCAUAGGCAGCAGAAUCUCAUAAUCCGAAAUGAAGAAAGCGACUAUAAUUUAGAUAAUCUCCAAGCAGAACAGCACAUUAUUUUUUUAUCUCCUGAUAGUUGCAGUAAUGACUCUGGAAAUAAGUUAAUGGGUAUGUAAAAAUCAAAGAAGUUAGAAGAUCACACCACAUUGGACAAAAGUUCGGCUUUUUUGAUGUGUGCACAUAUGUUAUGCAAACACAAUGCUUGUGACGGAAGUGUUAUAUCACGUGCACAAUAUUACGCAAGUGGAAUCCUUUUAUGCACUUCUCUGUAGAUCAGCGCUCCAUUCAAUGCACACUCUGGUGCACACUCAAUGCACACACUAUCCACACUUUUUCACUUCUCGGUAGCCAGCUGCAAUUUUCUGUUGCUGACUUCACUUGUUGCCUCAGCACCUGCAAAGUGGGUAAAAGAGGCAAAGGAAGCUUGACUUUAAAGGGCCCCUCACCAGGUCCCAUAGCAAAUUUUGGUUACACGCUGGAAGUUGUUACGUGUCCUCUAGGGAGCGUCCUGCCACAAAAAUUUUUCAAGUCUGCUCAUUAAUGCCAAGAUAGAAAUAUUUCAGUGCCGCGAACCCAUGAUUUCAGCAGGCGGGCUCCACUGCAUAGCGAGACUCCCUCUCAGGGUCUCUCUAUGAAUUCUCUCAGUCUCUCAGAAUUUCAUAUCUUUCCGCGACGCGUAGCAGUGUAAUACUUUGCAGACACGAUCAUUAUCACGCAAUGUAUGCUCUGCGCUUGUCAGCUCAAAAUGGCUAGACCUGGUGAGGGGCCCUUUAAAGCAUAGCAAAUAUUUCUGCAGCCACUUCUGCCAACAUUGACAGCAAUGGCAUACAAAUUUCAUUGUGAGAGAACUGUAGUCAUUGUGCAAUACUCCAUUCCUGCUUCCUCUGAUUUAGCCUAAAACAUAUUUAUCCCACGUGCGCUCCAUGGCCAAGCAAGUGCUGUAAUCGCCAAGUUUUAUGAGAUGGUGGCUAAUCAUUAUGUGCAGACAGUAUUCGUGUCUGCAUUUACAGCAAUAGUGAUACCUUAGCUAAAAGCUUGAAAUUAUCCAUAUAUUGCAUGUGAAACUUUCUGAGCCUGCACAGGUUCGCCAGAACAGCACAAGUUAAAUGUUCAGAACAUGUACUCAUUUUUCUUUCAUGGUGCAUGAAGAUUGUGCAAGCAAAACAACUAAGCCUCUUCUGUUUCACAAACUGCACCGGCUUUGUUACUUGUGUUCUUUGAAUGAAAUUGAAAGUGAUUUUUAAGAAAUGUGCUUUUUAAUCAACAUUCUAUCAAUCCUAGAUCCCAUUAUUUUUGACGCUGCAGUAUAAUGUCCAAGAGGAUACUAGUGCCAGUAUUUGGGAUUGCCUUUUACGGACUUGCAUAUGAACCAACACUGUUUGUCAUUGUAUGCGAAAUAUUGUAUCUUGUUCUUCUAUUGAGGUUGUGUCAUACAGAGGUUAUUGCAGUGUUACUGUUGCCUAAUAAUUGUCCAUUUUUGUCUUUUUGUCUCUGCUUGGCAAUUUUUACAGAAAUUAUUAUUAAAAGAAUUAAAUUUUGCGGCUUUACAUGCCAAAACUUUAAUCUGAUUAUCAGGCACGCCGUAGUGGGGGGACUCUGGAAAUUUCAACCACCUGGUGUUAAAGUACACGGAUGUUUUCGCAUUUCGCCCCCAUUGAAGUGUGGCCGUCGUGGCCGGGAUUCGAUCCCGCAACCUCGUGCUUAGCAGCCCAACACCAUAGCCGCUAAGCAACCACGAUAGGCGGAAGAAAUUAUUAUGUUAGUUCAACUCAGUGCCUAAAUUUAGCAGGGUUUCUUCAGUAAUCUACUGUUUAUGUAGUUCCAAAAAUAACACACAAUGCUAAUUAGCCGUGGUGGCUUCCAGAUCCCAUUUCAUGAAUCUUUAGCGAGUCAUCCAAAAUGGCUGCUUCAUUUGCAUGCCAGCUAGCAAAGUACACCUUUUCUCAUUCUAAAAGGACACUGAAGAUAUGUGGUGAAGCAGUUUAGACUGCUAGAGUGCUGCUUGAAAACUUUAUUUGCAUUUCUCUGCAAAAAUAAAAAUUGACUAUCCUCAUUUCAAAAUUUGGUGCCAUAGUUUUCGCACCCAUGAUGCUAUUACAUCAUCACAAAUUUCACAGCAUUUCUGAUUAUUCGAGCCAUUUUCGUGCAGCUAGGCAACGUUACCAACGAGGCAAACUGAUAUAUAGCUUACUUAACACAAUGUAAUCUUCCUUGAUUGAUGAACACUUAAAUAUUCCCAUGCAGUUCUAAAUUCGUGACUAAGUGAGGGGGCAGCUAGCCUCACGAGAUUGUCAAGGUGGCAGCGCCACCCGUCUAUAAUUUGGCACCCUUUGUAGCUUACCAAGCUUUCACUUACGAUCAGAACGAGCUGUCUGAAAUUGCGGGACAUGUAAUCUACCAAUCCAUAGCUUUCGUUAGCCUGUUAGUGUCCCAUUGUAACUUCAGUCAUGCUUGGUUAGGUCGCUGUGCAUUAACUGAUGACAUAAACUCUGUUUUGAUUCACAGGGUUGGUGCCGCGCAGUGGAGCAUCUGUCACAUUUUGCAGAGAUUCUCAAGAACAGGUAGAAGACGUCGGGACCACUACCACAACAGCACGUGGUGCAAGUGACAAGAGAGAGCCAGACAAUCGCAACAUUGCUUUCAUGCUUCAACUAGGUUUGACCAAAUUGCAGCCACCACAGCAGAUUCCGGCAUAUCACAUCAAGACAGAACACGAGAUGUCACCUCUUACCUCUGGAAAUGGCCCUGAUAUCCAGUUUGAAAACCUUUCUCAAGAAGAGCUGUCACUUUGCGAUGCCAUCUGCCACCCCAAGGCUGCAUCCUCCACUCUCCCAGCAGCAGUGUUUUGUAGUCUCCCGACAAAGCGCAUGAAGCUAUGGCGCACAGAGCCCUCAAAAGUCAUUGUUGAGGAUUCUUUGCAGCUUUGUGGAACCAUAGGGAAAUCUGAGGAAGGAGCACCUGGCACUGGCAUUGUUGUUGAUUCUGCUGAGGACACAGAUCCACAGGUGAAGAAGCAUGACAAGACGAUUUCCAUGAUUAAGCAAAAGUUCCAUGACAGAAGUGGACAGUCCAAGCCCAAAAAACGAAGGUCUGUCUUCUUGGGCAUUCCCUUCAAGGUCAUCACAACAUCAGAACAAACACCGCAAGACAUGUUGCAAGAAAGGAGGCUCCGUCGAACCUCAAUAGAGCAGAAAAAGAUGUUCCAGUGCCCACAGUGCCCAGAAACAUUUGUCUAUGAGGGCAAUUUGCUUGACCACAUAAACAGUCACACCAAGAAGAAAGUGUUCCAGUGCCUACACUGCAAGAUGAAAUUUUCGAACAAGCGUAUCCUCACAACUCACAUCCGGAAUAUCCACCCCUAGUAUACCCUUCCCCACUGCCAUUCUUCUGUUCGAUGAAAAGAACUGUAGAAAACUGUAGUCUCGUGCAGGUGUUCUGUUUCCUUUCUUAUUUGUUUGUUUCUGCAGAAAAUUGAGUUGUUGAUAGUGCAAGAAGCGUUAUCGUUCCAGUGUAAGAUAGUACACUAGGUUCUAGAUACAUGUCAAUAUUUCUCACAGCGAUUGAUGAUUACUGCUAUUUGUAGCGUGCAUGCCAGUCUUGUCGAGACAUUGCCGACAGCUUUAUAAACUGGCUUAAGUUACUCAGGAUAAAAGGAAAAACAAAUAGCACUACUGGACUAACAACCCAGACUUUCAGGCAAAUGUAAUAGCUGUUAGACAUUGCAUUUUACAGUCAAACCGCAGUAACCUCAGCAUGUAAGGAUGUGAGCAGUCAUUUAUAAUGAGCCGGGGAGGUAGGCAUAAAGCCGUUUUUUUUUUUUUUUUAGAUUAGAUGUACCUGUGUGAUUGUUUAAUUUUGUGGUUGUAUCAAGGUCAUAAACCUCUGGCAUUAAUGUCUCUUUGCCAAAUAAGUGAAGUGUUUGGUCCAGAAUAUUCUGCAUGCAGCAUAACUUCAGUUAUAUAUAAUUGCAUACUUUGUUUGUUUAUUUAACUUCAUUGUUUAUCUCCUGUGUUAGAGUGUUCUUGUUCCAGUGUGCUAGUCAGAAAAGUUGCGAGCAAGACAUGGUAGAAUGGAGCUUGCUGAGCAUAAUGGAGUCAUAAGAGAAAGGCGGAUGUUUCACAUACUCGAAUUUGCUCAAAAUGAUUUCAACUUUUGGCAAAAAAGGAGAGGACAUGGAAGGAUAGACAUGGUCAGAUUCGUGGUAAAGAGGUAAAACCAUGUUUCCUUUACUCUUAAUACUCACUGUAUGCUCCACGUAUAUUUCAAGUCUAGCUCUUACUCUUUGUUACAACUUUAAUUUCUUUGUAACUGAGUUUUGUUACCAAGUUAGUGCCUUACACGUUCAUCAUUGUGUUGACAAAGCGUGAUCAGCACCUGUAACCUUCUAAAUUGCCCAUUUGCGGUGUAGUUUCUGCAGUUAAUAAAGUUUCAUGAGUAAAGUUUCCAGCUGCACAUGACUGAUCUUUUGCUUAUAAAACACCAGGAGAAACCAACAGUCUGCAAAACGUGACACAGAGACGUGACACUGCUGUCACUAUUUUUAUUUUGAUAUAGGAAUGAGAAAAGGCUGUAUUCAUUGCAUCAAUGAGCACAAGUGGGCUGGUGGCCAUAAUUAUUGCAGUUGUGGCAAACUUAGUUGUCAUUAGUUCUGUCAGAUUGAAAGUUGAAUACUGCUAGUGUAGAGAAAGUUACUAGUGUAAACUGCAGUUUAUCCCACUGUGUAUUAGGUGGAUGUAGCAUUGCUGGUCCCAUACUUGUCUGCAAGCCUGUUUCUACCGUGUUAUUUUUGUCACUUUGACUAAGCUUUGCCUGCAAUGUGACAUCGUACUUUGGACUGUGACAAUCUUUACUAUAUAAUCGAGCUUGUGUUUAGUGAAGUGUCCGUAUGUGACCAUUUGUAAGAUCUCCCCAGGCCCAGUCAGAGAUUCUUGUUAUAUACUGGAAGUUGUAAGGCACUAUCUAGGGAGUGUUCCUACCACUAAAAUUAUAAAUAUAGGGUCAGUAUUAGCAAGGACAAAAGCAAACGAAAUAUUAUACAAUUAUCGAAGGAGGUGAGCGACCCUCCGCACAGCUGAACCCCUCUUUCACUGCCUCGACCAAUGCCUGCGAGCAACAUUCCCCCACUGCAUUCUCUUGCAUUAGAACCGAGGGCCAACGCAAUAUUCAGAUCACCACCCCCGCCUUCAUUCCGCUGUUGCUGUGCAGCCCAUUUCGACUGUCACUUUUGCGCACCCGAUGUCUUACAGAAACCCCGAUGUUGCUCUUUGCUAUUUGUACACUGCGCUCUGUGUGUGACACAGAGGUGGUGCCGGUGGAGUUUUCUCUGCUGGCGAGUGGCUUCUUUGAGAUGAAUUGCUCAUGGGCUUUUGUUUGAAUAUUCAGCUGCUUUAGUGGCAAGCAUCAUUUUAAUGCAAGAGGAUUCCAAAUUGGGCGAGUGGAAAACGUUCGUGAUGAUCAGCAUAGGGAAAGAUGAGACCAAGAAUAGGAAAACGCAGUUUAAGCGUUAUUUUCUUAUUCCUGAUCCCGUCUUUCUCCACACUGAUCAUAUUGAGUCAAUUUAACACUUUGCGUACCUGAUAGUCGCUUCAUGAUGUGCCCAGCAUGCUUGUCUUUUUGCAAUGCCAAAGCUGGUCAGGGGACCUUUAAGCUUGCCGCAAAGGUUAUACAGACAUUAACAGUCAAGGGACAAAAUAAAGCACAUUAUCAUGUCGCGAGAGGAAGGCAAAGUGUGCAGCUGAAUUGCCAUAAUUAGAACUCCUAGGAAAUGCUAAAUUUUGCAUGGAUUCUCCAGAGUUAAAUAAAGUAAGCUAGGAAGCAAUUAUGGGUUAUUAUAAGAGCCGGCUUGCUCAGAAAGUGGCAAGCAGGUGUAAAGACAGUACAGCUAGAUUCCAUAGAGAGUCAUCCUCAGAUCUGUCAGAGUGGAAUCUAUAUUUGGUGGCUUCCACUGUCCUACAUAGCUGCUUAAACGCCAAACAUGGGCAUGCUCUAUUAAUGCUUUGGAAACUUGCUAAAUUGGCAGGUGCUAGUUGUCUUUCUUGCGUAUGAAAAAGCCAAAAUAAUUGAAUUGACCGAAACCCUUACUUGAAUUGAGCAGCUUAAAAUAAAUUUAGAAGUGAAACAGUAGGCCAAGCAAGAAAUUGUUUCUUGUUUUUGUGCUGUUUUCAUUCUUAUUACCAUAUCCCAACAGCGAACUGUCCUGAAGAACUGAUUUGUUUGUAAAUUCAGCAUUUGAACUAUGAGUUUGGAUCGCCACUAGCUGACUGCUUUUAUCAAGAAGAUCACAAUAGAUGCAUUGUAUGUCGUAAGCAAAUGGUAUUUGUAAUUAAGGUAGCAAAGUCGCGCUCCAGCAGUGUCAUAUACUCUGUGCGUAGAAAAUUGAAUUCAUAAAAUGGCUAUACCUGAAUGUGUUGCCUUCAGCAUGCAAUCAUUGAUCAAGCAAAGAAAAGCAGGUGUGACAUCUGCAAUUUGUGAAUGGGCAUGCUUCUGGUAGCAGACACCUUGUCAGAUAAUGCUUCUCUCUCUCCUCCUUUAUUUUUGUGUCUAUGUGGUAUGACUCUUGAAACCAACAUCACAAAGCUGCAGUAAUACUGACGGCAAUGUUGGUUAAGGCGAAAGGGAUGGCCAUACCAUGGCUUGACAUGCACAAGUGAGCUUGCAGCCCUAUUCCACACAGUUUCAAAGAAACUUUGUUACACAAGCUUUGUUGAAAUUGCUAAUGCCUGGAAACAUUUUUUGCUUUUAAUUUGUCUUUCAGUAUCAUGAAAAGUGACGUUUGCCAAUGAAAUGAGCAGUCAGAGCUAUGUUUCAGCUGUUCUCACCCAAACCUCUUCUACACCCUAUCUCUUCACCUUCUUGUACUAGAUACUGUAGUGCCCCUAAAGGUGCAUAACUUGUUGACAGUGAGGCAAUCUAUUGAGUAUUGUAUCACACAAAAGUAUUAUUAAAAAAUAAUUCAUAGAUUAUUGCCAUAGAUAUGCCUUAGAGUGCUAAUACCUUGGGGUGUCUCAUAAUACAGGUUAUAACAUGGCUAUGAACAUGCAAAAUACACUAGAUCCGAAGACCAGCGAAAUUAGUUUUGCCAGUCUUCAUAGGAUAUCUUGUGUGUUUUAUAAAAAACUUCAUAUUUAUCACGGUAUCCAAGAAUGACAUUUCUUAAUAAGCUGUUAACCAUUAACACUAAUCCUUAAAUACUGGGCACAGAUAAAUUGGCAAGUUCCAACUAUAUAGUGCAUUUGGAGAGCUCCCCUAUGUUGCAACGCACAUUGAUCUCCAGAGAUGGUUUUUAACCGCCCCAUUUGUAUUGGCUGCUAGUGACACAGGAAUGCUAGUUUUCGUACAGAAAUAAUACUUGUGCAUCUCCUUUAACAUUCUGCUACGUAGUUAACACAUCUCGAUGCCAGAAAGCGAGAAUAUCGCCACUUUUCAAUUGAGGGGGUCACUGUCAAUAAUGCUGCUUGAUGGCUCCUGCAAAAAGGAGUUGAUUGUGAAGCAGCCGUCCACACAAGUACUUUAGAGGUGAUGGUGAAAAUGUCUGAUAACAAAAACACUGCUCGGAAACCACCAUGGAACAUUUUAAUUGCAGCGAUGACUUCAGCUGGAAGAGAAGUGCUGUCCAUUCCCCAAAGUUCUGGUGAUUCAUCGAUUAGAGGAAUCUUAGAGAAUUUCAAAGCUAAUCAACUCUCAUGUCUGUGCUGGGUUUGCACCUUCAGUACUGGGAGGCAGACGAACAAGAAAGUCUAACGCUUGCUGUACUGUAAAGUUGUGUACGUGUUCCACUCUGUGCAAGAAGCACCACUGCAUGUGCAAACAGCCAUUUGGCUGAUUGCACACUCAGUGGCAUAAAUGGUGGCUUCUUCGCAGCAUGGCCAUCAUCCCUCGUCAUAACGCCUGUGCCAGACAGUGCUGCCGAGCGCCGACCUGUAGUACCGGUCCCACCUCAAGUUACAGCCACAAGCAUAGCACCUCAUGGGAUAGUAUGCACACCCUUCGACUCGGCGAUUCUUCACAGAGGCAUCGACAUCAUAGGGCCUUGUGCGCCCAGUAUCAGCCAGUGCGAGUUGUCAGCACACGGCAACAGUGCUAGAGCUGCAGACUUUGCUGCUACCGGCGAGCCCAUCAUUCAGCAGUUGGGCGAAGGAGGGGCCAGCAGUGACCAGGACAUGGCUGCAACGCAGUCCCAGAGGACACCCAAGCCUUUUGCCUGUCACGUCUGCCCCAUGAGUUUCGGUUUUCACUCACAGCUUCAGGUACACCUGCGGUCACACACCAAGGAGACACCGUACCGAUGUCCCCACUGCUUCAAGGGCUUCUCGCAGAAGGGCAACUACAACCGACACAUGCGAAUCCACAUGUGAGCAGGAGAGCAGCGUAUCAAGGCAACACGGACAUUUAAGGUUAAGCUUGCUCUUUCCCCACGUUGCACAGAGUACAGUAAUGUGAAGCGCCUCACCUAGUCUUGCCGGUGCUUCCGUGCCAAAAAAAUGAAGUUGCUUGACAACAUAUUAGAAUGAGAGAGCUUCCCCAUGUGUAUGAACAGAAGGUAGCUUCAGACCUUCUGCUGAGAUUUCGGAAAGCGACUGUAGUGAUAGACACUCGCCUUCGUGUCCUGGAAUAAGAAAAACCUCAGACCAGGCAUAUCUGUGCCUGAAGCAACAGAAUCAUCACCACCGCCACCACUAUGUUGGCCACCUAGGGUGUGUCAAAAUGUCUGUACAUUUUGGACAGGCUCCACAAGAUUGUGCAGUGACAAGUGACGUCAAGCGGUGUGCUCAAGUAACUGCAGGCAUAUGUCAUAUGUGCGUCGGGCAUUCCUUUUCGGACAUUGUAGAUAUCCGUGGGGCAUUGUUGGAUGUCUAAGGCUCGUAGAAUGUUCAGCAUUAACUGUGUUGUAUAUCUGUGGACAUUGUUACUGCAGGUGAGUGUGUGAUCUUUUGAGAUUGUAUGAAAAAGGGGAGAAAUUUGAUUUUUUUUUAAGAAAAAAGAAGCACUACUUCAGCUUCCGCAGGCUCUCAUUAUGCUUUUGCAUGUUCAUAUAGCUGUAAGAAUCAUGUGCGAUCAUAUACCAAAGAGACUGCCACGAUUCUUUUCUGUUUGGAGGGUUCCAACAAGAAAAAUGGCUACAACUAUUUUGUGUAGGUCCACAUGUAAGAGGAAGGCAGUGUGUGACUAACUAAACUCUAGUACAGCAGGCGUGCCAAGAUGUUGCUGCUUUCCUGAACUCAUUCUGCAAGAGUGUGUGGAGUGACGAUUUGUGUAAAGAACACCCAGUGAACUGUUUGGACUAUGACAAGUGGUUGCAUAAAUAUUCAAGCUUCACACUCAAAGCCAUUGUCGAGUACUGUGUGUUUGUCUCCAUCUCCUUCUCUUUCUUCUAGAGUGCAUGUAUGUUUGUGCCAGUAAGAAUAAGUUGGGGUGUUGUUCUCCAUACUAUACUGGUUGCGUAUUUUGCACAAAUAUAUAGUUUGGUCUUUCGUCGCUUAGACAGACAGAAAUCUGAACAAGUUGGUGUAAAUUCAUGGGUAUGAAAUGGCAUGCAUACAAAAUGUGGACAGAUAAAGUAGAAACAGCCAACAUUUUGUGUUGUUUCUCUUUUGUUCAUGCUUUGUACGCCUGCCUUUUCAUUUCUUAAUUUCUAUAACUGCACACUUAAAAGUGUUCUUAUAGUUGUUGUUCUUGUUUUUUCUGGAAACAAGCUACGACUUAAAGGUGUUUGCUGUUUCUCUCCUUCUCUCCCUUUUUCUGGGUCUGUUCUUAUUGGGUCUAACCACUACAUUUAUUUGUGUACACAGUUGGAAACAGCCAUCCCUAGGCAUCUUGUCAUGUGGUCGUUCAUAUAUGCAUAGAACAUUGGCAAACUAGCUCUGCAGAAAUUCACUAGGUGAAGGAAAUUUCGCAGCAAUGAAAAACUCAUCCACAUGACAGUAGCGUGAAGCUACAAGGGAAACCCACACAGGUUUCACAGUAAACUUCACAGUUGAAGAAAGAAUUCGUCCUGGUCUGGAGAUAGAGCUCUGGACCAACACCUUUGCAAGGUGAUCAUUUUACCAUCUGAGGUAACCACGCAGAGCAAGGCUGAAUUAAUUGACAACUCAACAUGCAGUGAGACUAAAUAUGAUGAACCACUUCUGCAUUGAUCUGAAGGUGAAAGAAGCUUCUUAAAGAGAAAAUUGUUGUACGCCCAAAGUUAGCACUAUGCUACAAAGACAUGCGUUUUUCACACAGAUUUGUGUUCCAGUGGAUGGUGCAUUAGAUGGACGGCAGCUUCCCUGUUCAGAUGAAACCUUGUGGCAAUAUUUAAAUGCCAAACCACAUGUCAGUGGGGAAGGUCACCAAUGACCUGAAAUCUUUGGCUUUCUUUUUCAUAGAGAGCUCACAGGGAGCGAACAGUUGCUAAGCAGGCAUUUUGGACAGAAUCAAUAACUAUAUAGUGAGUGCUUAUUACCGAACUACCUGGGCAUGUCACUUAAGUUAAACAAAGAGCCUUGGUUGUUGCUGUUUUAUGUAGUAGUAUUCAUACUUCUUUUGGAGGGGGGGAGGAGGGGUGUUCUACAGACUCUUGUAACAGCUUCACCGUCCUUCCCACCCCCCAUACCCCAAUACUUGGUCACAAAAGGCAACUGGUGUUUGUUCACAAAGUCAAACUUCCAUGUAAAGUAGGUCAAAGCAGAUAACACCUAGGAACAUGCAUGCUCGCUUAUGGCUCCAUAUGGCUAAGCCGUACUUGUUAGUUUCCUCAAAAGUAGGUGUCGGUUUCAGAUCCUGAGGUUAAAGCUGUGGCAUGCAGUGAGUACAAACUAAAUAUACUCCGGGAAUAUUUUUAAGGAUUUUCUUUUUAGGGUGGCUAUUGCAAAAGUUUAUACUGUACUUGCAGGGCUUGCAAAAAGCUUGCCUUUGUGUAUUAUCCUUUGUUAUCUUAUACCAGGUGCCCUUCUUUAGUUGCACCAAGUUUUUACAAAUCGCCUAUGGCAAAUAGCACAAUUCUAAAUCUUGAACUAAAUUUUUACAGUGGAGCUGUAUAUAUAUGUCUACCCUCCCAUACAUUUUUCAAUGUCCGUGCCUCAAAGUUCCCGCGCCCUCUAUGAGGAGGCAAAGUGAACCAGAAAGGCAUGUGCUGACAUCUGGUGUAGCAAAAGGAAAGCUAAGAAGCCACCCAAUACAUGGUUUCAUACAAUAAUUACUUGAGGGAACUCUGGUGCUAGUGUCAGAGGGAGCUGCAAUCGGGGUGGUUCAGCCAGCAAGCGAAUUAUGGGGAGUACAUGGAUUUGCCUGAACUUCGUCCUUCUGGCUUUAAACGUCUCUUCGACUUUGUAAAUUCAUCAUUUUCACUGUGUAAUGAAUAAUCAAAGAAACAUAAUUAAAACCAUCCGCUGGGAGGAUUCAAGCACAGGACCUCCAACACAGAAGCCCGACAUUGAAACCAUUAUACCAUGGACGCAGGCAUUGACAAGCAGGAUAGGACGUCCUUAUGAACUUCUUGCAGGCAAGUCAGCGUCUUGAGAUGCUUGAUGCACUUCAAUUUGGACUCCUCGACAGGUUGAGCCACUAGUAGCAGCGAUUGUGCGUGUUCGCAGGGUAUUCUACAGACAUGGAAGGGAAAAGCCCCAAAAUACAUAAACUUUUACACUCAGUGGUGUGCUUUGUCUUUCUUACAGCUCCGCUGAUAGCCCACAUUCACAGAAUGGAAUGGAUGCGAAUUUUUUCAAUGAGGUGGACCUAGCUUCUGCAAAAAAUCAACAAAUUAACAUGAAUUUACUAAUUAACAUUUUAAGUAAUUACUUUACAGCACAUAUCGCUAUUUAUUCAUUGUAACCGGUGAGUUUGCAAGGUGUAUCCAAAAGCAUCCACUUGAAAUUAAUUUUCAGGAUGACACGAGUUAUUAGAUAUUUAUUUUCGAAGUGUUCGACGAAAUGAAUAGGCGUGUGCAGUUACCUUUGUGCUUUAAUGCAUAGCGCAGGAUUUUCUUUAGAAAGUAAGUGGAACCACUGCAUUUUUACUGCAAGUUUGAUGGCACAUAUGAUGAAAACAGUGCCGUCCUCAGAAUUCGUUCAAGUCUAUAUGUUUUGCGAAUUUGCUAGCUGCAGCUCGUAAAUUGCAAUAUGUGACGCUGUAAAUUGAUUAGUACGAAACUCAAGUAAAAUUUCCUUAAUUAGUCAAUCGCACAUUUAAUUGCUCUUCAAAGUAAUGUCCACCUCAUCGAGUAAUUUAGUUCAAGGGUUAGAAUUGUGUUAUCUGCCACAGGUAAUUUUUACAAAUUUGGCGCAGCCAAAAAAAAUCACCUGAUAUACACACAAGUAGUGAUUUGUUAGUUCUGUGGCGGUUCCUAUUUUAUUGCUUGCUGCUGACACCAGAAAGAUGUUAGGGGAUGGCAUAAAUGGUUAUAAGCUAGCUUUCUUGCCAUUAUUUAUGGCAAAGCUUGGCGGUGGGUGUCGCGUGAUUAUACAUCUUGGCAUUGCGAAGAUGUAGAUCUUGUAAUACCUCUUAAGUAGCACUUUCUAGGCUGAGUAGUUUGUGUAGAUGCUUUCAUGAGCAAGUCUCCUGCCACCCUUUGCAGCGAGUGUAGCUUGGAAGCCAGGUUACAGACGAGAAGUGCUCGCUAAUGCACUCUACAAGGCGUUCCAAACAACAUUAAAAGAAAACAAAACCUUCUUUGCAAAUGGAACCAUUUGUAUCCUAUUAGCAGACAUCUGAACAAUCUACAAGUGUAUUUUGUAUUCUGCCUGAUUACUAGUCAGUAAUGUUAUUAACGACCACCUAUUAAUUUUAUCAUCGCUACAUAUGGGGUGAUCAUUUUUAAGUUUUCUGGAAUUUUUAAAUGUUGCCUGUCGCAAAACAUAGUUCUAGUCCUUGAGCUGGAUUACACAGAGAAGUCGACAUAACUUUAAUGAGAAGUCGAAACACAUAUUCAGCUAAUUAAAAAAUAAUUAAUUACUUUGCAGCACAUUUUGCAAUUUACAAAUCGCGAAAUGUGCAAUUGUAAAUUGUCUACAACUCAAAUUAAUAUGUGUCGUGAAGUGAUUAGUUAGGUUGAUUAGUGAAUUCGUGUUGAAUGGUUGAAUAUGUGUUUUGAUUUCUCAUGCUCGUAAUGUCCGCCUCUUCGAAUAAUCCAGCUCAAGGGCAAGAAUCAUGCCGUCUGCCUCAGGUGAUCUUUUUUAAAUUCCAGAAAAUUUCUGCUGUAUAGUAGUAUGUUUUAGUGCUCGUUGUAAAACAGCAGUGGUAUUUCUUUGUGGAAUGCUCUCCUUUGGCUUUUUUACUGUGACAGCAGUUAAAGGCUCGAAACUGGG